CUUGCUUGUCCUCCAAGCCGGGCACAGAGCCUAAAUAAGAUGAUUGGCCCAGUUAUUUUCCAGGCACCUGGAAUCUCAGCUGUGUCUAGUUCAAGCUGAGCUGGUUAGGAAGGACUAGCACAGACACCCUCCAGCUGGGCAUGUGCUGGCAUCCCUCGUGACCUUUUGAAAGUUCAGGGGCCUUCGCUUCGGCGCACCUGUGCAGAGCCCUGGUUAAGGCACGUUUUCCCGAUCACGCUCCUACACGCCCCAUGCCUCAGACAGCCCUGCUUCUUUAUUGGCUAUCCCACAAGUGCCACAAACCCCUUGGCUCCCAGGGGGCGGGUUUGAGAGAGCUUUUUUGGUCUUUGCGUGGCUGCCUAGUGAUGAAAUCUUUCCCGCCCACCCCUCCUCACAAGCUUCUUAGCGAUUUGGUUUUGCAUCUGGCAAAAUGCAUCUGGCAAAAUGAAGCUGGCCCAGUGACAAAUUUGGUUGCCUAACCAGGAGAUUUUUGCUGGCAGGGACCAGGUUGAGGAAGAGAGGGGAACAAAUGGAGAACGACGUAACUGGCUACUCCACUGGUGGCUGCCUUAACACAGGGACGAGCUGGACCAAAUCGAGGAACCCACAGGGGCUUAGCAAGAGGUUCUUGGAAAUACCAUCUGGCUGUCCUCCAUGUAGAUGGUCUUCUUUUUGUGGUAAGAAAUAGGUGUCACAGCACUGGAGUCUUCAUGCUGUUGGGUGGAGCCACAUCCUGGUGCCAAAAUUGUGAUCUUUUGGAGAGCUCAUGCUGAUCAAUAUUCCUGGGGCCUAUGCCACUAGUGUCCUAGCCCCCACAGUGAGCCACAGUAGACCCCUGCCUCCUGAAGAGACCCUCCAAGACCAGCAGUUGACAUUAUUCUUCCUGGAGAAGAGAAGAAUGCCAGGAGAAGGGCAUGAGAUUUGAAGAAUUAAGAAGAAUUAUAUUUGUUACACCAAGCAAAGAGUAGAAACUGCCCAAUAUUGGAAACUGAAAAGAGAAAAAUAUUGCAUGAACUUUCUGCCAGAAUGUUCAAAGAUGCAAAAAGUUGAUUUUAUAUGUGAUGUGUUCUCUGUCACCAGGGGAAACUAAGCAAUUACUAGAUAGAGAUGACAUUAGACAGGGUUCAAGUAAAUCUGGAGCAUUAGAUACUAAGUCCCCUCAUGCCUGAAUUCUAUAAAUACUGAAGAAAGAGGAAGACAAAUAUGAAGGCAUUUGGAGGGACUUUCCCCAUUAAAUAUAAACAUAAUGUAACAGGAAUUACAUUACAAUAAUCGAAUGUUAGUUCUGGUUCACAUUAUGUCAGGUAUAAAAUUCCACUGAUACCUUUAAAAUUGUUUUUCUAAUAAAUCCAACCAAGCAUGAAAUAACUUCUAGCUGCUUUAAUAAAGACUAAUAGAGGAAAUUACACUAAUGAGAGGCUAACAAAGCAGACCAAGAUGACCCUAAAAAGCAGGUGUCCUUUUCAGACAAGUCCAGUGAAUACCAUGCCUAAUCUAAGUGAGGGGUUUCUGUUCUCAUUUUCUCAAGAAAGGUUUUGGGAAUUUUAUCAGUAGGGGGCAUUGGUGUUCUAUCAACAGGAGAACUUGACUCAGAAUAAGUACUCGAUAAUUCUAAGCAUUUAAAAAUGAUCACAAAUCAAAGCAGUAGGGAAACGAUUUUUCUUAGAAAAAUCCACAUAGAAAUGUCGUCUAUUCUGAAUGAAAUUUAAAUAAAAGUACAGCAUGCACAUAUUUGGUUUUUCCAAGAUAAAUGAAAAAUGCCAGAGGCCUUAAACGGAGAGAGAAAAAUAUCACAGCAGCUGCAGAUUCAGCAUUUCCAAGUCCUAGGAAUUGGGAAGACAGCUGAAUUGGCAUCAUGGUGAACUAGCAUCACUAAUGCUCACAGCUCUCAUUUAGCUGUAAUGAGAGUGAAAUCAAAUAGUUCUUUCUGUGUUAGAACUUCUCUAAUACAACAAAUACUGCUUUAUCUUUUCUUCUCCUCUUUUACUGGCAUAGGCAAAAACAUAUAAUCGUGAAAAGAAUUAGGGGAAAAGGAAAAAAUCUUUAGAUUUGGAAUGCACAAUAUAUGAGAUAAAGAGCUACGUUUCUUCACUCAAACACAUACACAACCCCAGAUUGGUCAUGGAUGGAAAGAUGGUUAAACACCAAUAAAAAUCAAUGCAAAAUUUCCAGAUCUACCAUGACAUAAAUGCUAGAUGGCAGAUAGAAUUACUUAGGAAUUAUCAUACUUUAUAGAAAAUUUUGAUACUCCAUUUUUCUAGCUCCUCUUUCCUCAAAAAUACUUAGCUUUGUAUCUUAGAAGGUACAAUUCUGGGACUUAAAAUUUGAGAUCUUAAGAAAUAAUGCAAAGGAAGGAUACCUCAAAACACACAUAUACACAUACAUACACCUAUAGCUUUUUCUGAUUCAGUUCUAUUUGAAGCAUGAGAAGGCUGACUAUUUCCACCCUUAAUGCUCAUCCAGAUUUUUUACGUUCAUUCAACUCCUUCUAGGUAUAUGGCAGACAUGGACUAUGUACUAUAAAACUUGCCUUGACCUCUGGGGCCAUUGUCUGAACUCCUGGAAUAUGUGUUUCUAUUUGGGUAUAUUUUUCUCAGUGUAAUAAACUCUUAUAGUAUUUCUUCCUGGAUGCUGCCUGCAGUAACAGGAAGGAAAACAGCACUACUUUAAAACAGCACCCUAAAACAGAGUGGCAUUUUUACUUUGCUUUGUUUUUGAAUCACCAGCCUUUGUGUUUGGUGGUAAAAAACACCCAUUUUAGUUCAUCAAGGGUUUUGGAUCAAUCAAGAGAGAGAGAAGGUGUCAGAAAGAUCAAGAGAGUCCUGUGUUACUACUAAAGGUUAGGUCAGAGGAUAUGGCUUAACUAGAUCUUCUCAAACUGAACCACAGAAUUAAGUAGACUUACCUACUCAGUCACAGACAGCUAGAAAACCACAGUCUUUCCCCACAGAAAAGGCAUAGACUAGAACACAUGUUUCUUCUGGUGUCUGGCUCCCAAGGGGCAGGAAGGAGAAAAAAGCUGAGCUAUACGUGCCCAGGUCUUCUUCCAAAUUCAGCAAGGGUGAAAAUUCCACCCCAGGGGAAGGGCACCUGAAGGGGUAGAGAGAGGCCCUUAGAGAUAUCUCUUCAUGCAAAAGAAAAUACCAGGAGUGGGAAAUGUGCUUCCGAGAGCAUAAAUCACCUCAGUUCAUUCUUGUUUGGUAGGAUGAAUUGGAUUUUAUAAUAAUGAAAUUUAUUAUAAGUAACAGAACUCCGCAUCCAUGUCCUUAAUCUUUAAGCAGACCACAUUUCAUCACCCUGAUGAAUACAUCCUGGUUUUAUUCUGGAAUGGCUUGAAAUGAGAAGUGCUAUGUCUGGAUUUUCCUAUCCUUUAUUGAGCCCUUUAAUGCAUUUAAUUUUCAGAGAUAACUGGAUCCUUUCCAGGGGAGGGAGGAGAGAAGUACAUAGACAUCUGUAAUGAUUUCUGACAGCGUGACAUGGAGCACUGAUUUUUACAGCAGUAGCCAAAAUUACAGUAAUUAGAGAAAAUAUCCACAUCUUUAUAAACAGAGUGUUAACUGAUUCAAAAGGAACUUAAUGAGAACUUACAAGAGGAAGUGCACUUUUGCUGUUCAGUAUUAAACAUUAAUUAAAGUCAGAAGGCAAUAGUCAAAUUGCCUCUCCACUUCAGUCACUUGGCAAGGCAUAGAAAUUGGAGAGGCUUUAGAAUCUGCUGACUUUGCUGGCUGUGACCCUCCAAAUAGGUUCUCUAAAUUUAUAGUCCGAUUUAAUGCUGAAUUUUACUUCCUGUUAAAGAUUUUAAGGUCUGUUGAAACUGAGAGAUAAAAGCAUUCAAAUGCACAGCAUUUUAGACUUAGGCAUCUUAUUUUUAAAAAAGUAUUUUAAAAUGUCCUCUUUAUAAUUAGAAUAAGUAAAUGAAGCUAUAUCUGAAAUAUCAUUAUGAUCCCAACUAUGAAAUAAAAUUCACAUAGAAAAUACUAGAAGGACAUACAUUACAUUAUUGGUGGUGGGUUGCUUUUUUUGUAUGACUGAACAAUGAAUUAUUUUUUCUCCUUUUUCUUUCCUGCAAAUUACUUUUAUAAAUGGAAGAAUUAAGUUUUAAUUCUAAAAGUCUGCUUAUUCUUAUGGAAGAGUUGAAUCACUGCCCCUAAAUUGGCUAUAAAGUACUUAAGAGAACUACCUCUUGUUUCUAAGAUCUUGAGUGGAAAAUUCAAUGAACUAGAAAAUAAUAAACAUAGAUAACAGUUGA